GUGGGUGCUCAUUAGAAGAAUGAGUUUACUGAAUUGACCUACAAAGAGAAAUCUUAUGAAGUCUUACUUACAUGUCAAAAGAUGAUUCUCUUAGUGGGAGUUGUGCAACUGAUUCUAUGACCUGAGAUCACCAUGGUAUCUUGUGCACAUGAACCCAUAUUUUGGUUUACACUCAUUCAUGACAAUAAGUUGUGUACGAGGUCUUCUGGAUAUGGUGAAUUGUGUACGAAGAUUAUGAGUAGGUAAACAAGGAAUUAAUCACUUCUAGUAAGAGAAGAAAGCAUCCUAUUUAUUCUAAUU
rnacentral:lncRNA from 1 species